GGGAAUGUGGCUUAGUGGUAGAGUGCUUGCCUAACACACAUGAAGCCCUGGGUUCGAUUCCUCAGUACCA
rnacentral:tRNA from 1 species